rnacentral:rRNA from 1 species
UACAUGCAGUCGAGCGAAUCGAUGGGAGCUUGCUCCCUGAGAUUAGCGGCGGACGGGUGAGUAACACGUGGGCAACCUGCCUAUAAGACUGGGAUAACUUCGGGAAACCGGAGCUAAUACCGGAUACGUUCUUUUCUCGCAUGAGAGAAGAUGGAAAGACGGUUUACGCUGUCACUUAUAGAUGGGCCCGCGGCGCAUUAGCUAGUUGGUGAGGUAAUGGCUCACCAAGGCGACGAUGCGUAGCCGACCUGAGAGGGUGAUCGGCCACACUGGGACUGAGACACGGCCCAGACUCCUACGGGAGGCAGCAGUAGGGAAUCUUCCGCAAUGGACGAAAGUCUGACGGAGCAACGCCGCGUGAACGAAGAAGGCCUUCGGGUCGUAAAGUUCUGUUGUUAGGGAAGAACAAGUACCAGAGUAACUGCUGGUACCUUGACGGUACCUAACCAGAAAGCCACGGCUAACUACGUGCCAGCAGCCGCGGUAAUACGUAGGUGGCAAGCGUUGUCCGGAAUUAUUGGGCGUAAAGCGCGCGCAGGUGGUUCCUUAAGUCUGAUGUGAAAGCCCACGGCUCAACCGUGGAGGGUCAUUGGAAACUGGGGAACUUGAGUGCAGAAGAGGAAAGUGGAAUUCCAAGUG